GUCGGGAGUUAGGAAAUGCAAGGAUGUUAAUAGCAUCUUUGCUUGACUAAGGCUCCGGAGGAAGCCACGGCUAACUCUGUGCCAGCAGCCGCGGUAAUACAGAGGCGGCAAGCGUUGUUCGGAAUUAUUGGGCGUAAAGAGCACGUAGGCGGCCGUGUAAGUCGGUUGUGAAAGCCUUCCGCUCAACGGGAGAACGGCCUCCGAUACUGCAUGGCUCGAGUGCGGGAGGGGAGAGUGGAACUUCUGG
rnacentral:rRNA from 1 species